AGUUGGCACCAUCCGUCCUGGUGAUGCCCGUGAGUACCACGCCGUUCUGAGCAUCCACUCCCGCUGCAAUGAGAUGAGGAGAGGUCGCCGUGAGCCUCUGCCAGAGAUCUGCGCGCUGCAGGCACGUAGCCGUCAUCCCCAGCCCCUGCCGUACCUACGCAGCCCCGCACCGCUGCAGCAGGGAGGUUCGGCGCUUCUCGUGCAUUCAACACCAAGAUCCCCUCCUAAAAGUAGCAGCACUCCCAGGGACUUACACACAUGGCUUCAAACAAGUGGAAGACGACGUAGACAGGCAUGACCCAGGCCACCAAGUCGAUGAUCUCCCUGCAGACAAAGAGCCAUCAGUCUCUUUUUGGGAACAAGCAUCCAUGGCGGGAGCUGGGGGCUCUCACUUUUCAUUGGUAAAGAUGUAUCCCAGCACGUCCUUUGUGGCAGCUAAAAUGGCUCCUACAGCAACGCAAAACCCUCCUGGAAAGGAAAGCAAGGAGGCAUUACUCACACAAUUCCCAGGUGGAGCACAUAGAGGAAGACGGAGUUGGCGAUCACAUUGACAAUGUUGCCAAUAAGCCCGCUCAGCACCACGGGCCACAUGAUCAUCUGCAACAAGGGGUGAACGGGGGCUGCCAUCUGCCAUGGCCGUGGGAAGACCCCACCAGCCCCCACCUCCCCACAGCUUUAACAACAAGAGAGGAAACUUCUGGCAUUGGAGGUAUAGCUCUGAGAUGGGGACAUUGGAUGGAAG